GAGUGUGGACACUGUAACCUCCACAAGUAUUCUGAUCAUUGAAGAGCCACAUUCUUAUUUGAACACAGGAAAGCUAAUCAGGCAUUUUUAGAGCCCACAUGCGACACCCCUCAGACCAUACAAUUCUCUCUCACCUACGUCUUCUAACGACUGCUUCCAUUCCCAGGGAUUCUGAUACCGAGAAGGGGACACCCUGAGCAAAGAGAGUUGUGCGAAGGCCUCAGCUCCCAGCAAACUGGAGAUGGACAACACGGAAUCCUAAAGAGCAGAACCACUUCAGGCUCCACACCCAACAUGGGGCUCGAACUCACCACCGCAAGAUCAAGUGUCGCAAGGUCUACCAACUGAGUCAGCCAGGUGCCCCAACAAAACCAUCUUCCCAAACUUUUUUUGGCCGUAACCUAUAAAAAGAAAUACAUUU